rnacentral:lncRNA from 1 species
GAGAUCCGACGCAUUCGAAGGAAGUACGCGCUUACAACCAGAUCUUCUAACAUUGUUGUUAGGGAUCCUUAGGAUGACUAGUCUCCUUUUCUCUUGUAUUCUCAUUUGGUUUAUGAAAUUGUACUUUGUGUAAUCCUUCCAAUUAUAUAUAUAAAAGAGGUUUUUUAUGGUUAUAUCAAAUUGUUACAAUUAUUGCUAAAUAUACAUGUAUUUGCAAAUAAUAUAGUAAGUUCCUUGAAAAUAAAAAUAACAAUCAAGCAUUGCAUUUCAU